UCCUUCCUUAGGAUCGCUCCUGGAGAGUUUCUAGGACUCUACCAGUCUCGGCUAGGGGAAGGAGAGUCAAGCAGAGGUAUACCCAUUCUAUUCCUAGCUUGGACAGUGGCUAGAAAGUAGAAGGCAAUCUGCUGCAAGU